GGACAGGUGGCCGAGUGGCUUAAGGCGCACGCUUGGAAAGCGUGUGAACGUGCAAGCGUUCCGAGGGUUCGAAUCCCUCUCUGUCCG
rnacentral:tRNA from 1 species